UACGUAGGGUGCGAGCGUUAUCCGGAAUUAUUGGGCGUAAAGAGCUCGUAGGCGGUUUGUCGCGUCUGCCGUGAAAGUCCGGGGCUCAACUCCGGAUCUGCGGUGGGUACGGGCAGACUAGAGUCCGGAAGAGGAGAGUGGAAUUCCGGGUGUAGCGGUGGAAUGCGCAGAUAUCAGGAGGAACACCGAUGGCGAAGGCAGGUCUCUGGGCCGAUACUGACGCUGAGGAGCGAAAGCGUGGGGAGCGAACAGG
rnacentral:rRNA from 1 species